AUACUGGCCCCCAAAUUUUCGCU
rnacentral:miRNA from 1 species